rnacentral:rRNA from 1 species
CGUCACACUAUCAUUAACUGAAUCCAUAGGUUAAUGAGGCGAACCGGGGGAACUGAAACAUCUAAGUACCCCGAGGAAAAGAAAUCAACCGAGAUUCCCCCAGUAGCGGCGAGCGAACGGGGAGGAGCCCAGAGCCUGAAUCAGCAUGUGUGUUAGUGGAAGCGUCUGGAAAGGCGCGCGAUACAGGGUGACAGCCCCGUACACAAAAGCGCAUGUGCUGUGAGCUCGAUGAGUAGGGCGGGACACGUGGUAUCCUGUCUGAAUAUGGGGGGACCAUCCUCCAAGGCUAAAUACUCCUGACUGACCGAUAGUGAACCAGUACCGUGAGGGAAAGGCGAAAAGAACCCCGGCGAGGGGAGUGAAAAAGAACCUGAAACCGUGUACGUACAAGCAGUGGGAGCACCCUUUGGGUGUGACUGCGUACCUUUUGUAUAAUGGGUCAGCGACUUAUAUUCUGUAGCAAGGUUAACCGAAUAGGGGAGCCGGAGGGAAACCGAGUCUUAACCGGGCGUUAAGUUGCAGGGUAUAGACCCGAAACCCGGUGAUCUAGCCAUGGGCAGGUUGAAGGUUGGGUAACACUAACUGGAGGACCGAACCGACUAAUGUUGAAAAAUUAGCGGAUGACCUGUGGCUGGGGGUGAAAGGCCAAUCAAACCGGGAGAUAGCUGGUUCUCCCCGAAAGCUAUUUAGGUAGCGCCUCGUGAAUUCAUCUCCGGGGGUAGAGCACUGUUUCGGCUAGGGGGCCAUCCCGGCUUACCAACCCGAUGCAAACUGCGAAUACCGGAGAAUGUUAUCACGGGAGACACACGGCGGGUGCUAACGUCCGUCGUGAAGAGGGAAACAACCCAGACCGCCAGCUAAGGUCCCAAAGUCAUGGUUAAGUGGGAAACGAUGUGGGAAGGCCCAGACAGCCAGGAUGUUGGCUUAGAAGCAGCCAUCAUUUAAAGAAAGCGUAAUAGCUCACUGGUCGAGUCGGCCUGCGCGGAAGAUGUAACGGGGCUAAACCAUGCACCGAAGCUGCGGCAGCGACACUGUGUGUUGUUGGGUAGGGGAGCGUUCUGUAAGCCUGUGAAGGUGUGUCGUGAGGCAUGCUGGAGGUAUCAGAAGUGCGAAUGCUGACAUAAGUAACGAUAAAGCGGGUGAAAAGCCCGCUCGCCGGAAGACCAAGGGUUCCUGUCCAACGUUAAUCGGGGCAGGGUGAGUCGACCCCUAAGGCGAGGCCGAAAGGCGUAGUCGAUGGGAAACGGGUUAAUAUUCCCGUACUUGGUGUUACUGCGAAGGGGGGACGGAGAAGGCUAUGUUGGCCGGGCGACGGUUGUCCCGGUUUAAGCGUGUAGGUGUGUGUUCCAGGUAAAUCCGGUUCACUUUAACACUGAGGCGUGACGACGAGGCACUACGGUGCUGAAGCAACAAAUGCCCUGCUUCCAGGAAAAGCCUCUAAGCAUCAGGUAACAUCAAAUCGUACCCCAAACCGACACAGGUGGUCAGGUAGAGAAUACCAAGGCGCUUGAGAGAACUCGGGUGAAGGAACUAGGCAAAAUGGUGCCGUAACUUCGGGAGAAGGCACGCUGACACGUAGGUGAAGUGAUUUACUCAUGGAGCUGAAGUCAGUCGAAGAUACCAGCUGGCUGCAACUGUUUAUUAAAAACACAGCACUGUGCAAACACGAAAGUGGACGUAUACGGUGUGACGCCUGCCCGGUGCCGGAAGGUUAAUUGAUGGGGUCAGCGCAAGCGAAGCUCCUGAUCGAAGCCCCGGUAAACGGCGGCCGUAACUAUAACGGUCCUAAGGUAGCGAAAUUCCUUGUCGGGUAAGUUCCGACCUGCACGAAUGGCGUAAUGAUGGCCAGGCUGUCUCCACCCGAGACUCAGUGAAAUUGAACUCGCUGUGAAGAUGCAGUGUACCCGCGGCAAGACGGAAAGACCCCGUGAACCUUUACUAUAGCUUGACACUGAACAUUGAGCCUUGAUGUGUAGGAUAGGUGGGAGGCUUUGAAGUGUGGACGCCAGUCUGCAUGGAGCCGACCUUGAAAUACCACCCUUUAAUGUUUGAUGUUCUAACGUGGACCCGUUACCCGGGUUGCGGACAGUGUCUGGUGGGUAGUUUGACUGGGGCGGUCUCCUCCUAAAGAGUAACGGAGGAGCACGAAGGUUGGCUAAUCCUGGUCGGACAUCAGGAGGUUAGUGCAAUGGCAUAAGCCAGCUUGACUGCGAGCGUGACGGCGCGAGCAGGUGCGAAAGCAGGUCAUAGUGAUCCGGUGGUUCUGAAUGGAAGGGCCAUCGCUCAACGGAUAAAAGGUACUCCGGGGAUAACAGGCUGAUACCGCCCAAGAGUUCAUAUCGACGGCGGUGUUUGGCACCUCGAUGUCGGCUCAUCACAUCCUGGGGCUGAAGUAGGUCCCAAGGGUAUGGCUGUUCGCCAUUUAAAGUGGUACGCGAGCUGGGUUUAGAACGUCGUGAGACAGUUCGGUCCCUAUCUGCCGUGGGCGCUGGAGAACUGAGGGGGGCUGCUCCUAGUACGAGAGGACCGGAGUGGACGCAUCACUGGUGUUCGGGUUGUCAUGCCAAUGGCACUGCCCGGUAGCUAAAUGCGGAAGAGAUAAGUGCUGAAAGCAUCUAAGCACGAAACUUGCCCCGAGAUGAGUUCUCCCUGAGACUUUAGGUCUCCUGAA